CGUAGCAGUCGUAGCAAGCCUAGCAAGCGUAGCAGUUGUAGCACACUUUGGUUUGCUUUUUGUUUUUAUUUUUCAAUGUGAGAAUUGAACAAGAGCAGCGUGGCCCCUUACCUCCAAAAGCAAGAUGGCUGCGGCAUGUGCUUGAUUCAGGAUUUUGGUCGCAAAUGCUCUGUUACGUUUCUCGUGUGGUAACCAAGCGAACACCAAAGAUUAUGUAUUGUUUGCAUGCCGCAAGUUAUUAAAGGUGCAGACAGUCAGUAUACAUUCAACAAUGCAAAGGCUAAAAGCUAACAUCCUUGAAAAGAUAGCCGAGGAAAAAGACCCGAUUCUUACAUGGCUGCACCCUAAAGUUACUGUCAAGAACAUCGAAGGGAUGAAGGUUCCAGGCAUUGCGCUACUGUCAACUGCUGUCGACAGUUUUGUCGAUAUUUCACAUACAGAAUUCAAAUAAUUGCAAAGUACGCUUGUACGGGAGCCGGGGACAAUAGGGAUAUACUUCGGCAAAGACAGGGAAUGCACCUUGGAGCAAAUGAUUAAAAGGAAACAGGUUUGCCAGAAAAGAGCAUACCGAAUUUUUCUGGGGAAACUGAUGCCAUUCACGCAACAUAUGAUAGUGUAUGCUAGUGGAAUUCGGGAUGAUGCCCCCAAUGAGAGUGAUAUGGAAGAAAUCAACAAUCCAGCAACAACAAUAUCGGACGAAGGUUGCGAAAGCUUGGACACUCUCGAAAACGAGUUGAGGAUAAAGUUAGAAGCAUUUAAAAAUAUUCAUGUCAUGCAAUAUCGCGAAAAUACAACUGCACCUACAGAAAGUGAAGAGGAGCUCAACUUCAGUUUUACAGAGAAACUUACACCGAACACAAAGGCUAGAUAUAACAACCUGACUCCAAGAAAAAGGAAAACAUUUGCUUGGAUCACAAUACAACAGAUGUGAGAACUUCCCAAGACAAAAUUCCCGAUUCAACCCCAAUAGCAACUGGCGAUCAAAACGUCUGCGAGCAAGCAAAUGAAAUGCCUGCAAGAGGUGAAUCGCACACCAGAAAGCGAUUAUUUGCAGAAGGUGCUAUUGGCGUUCUUCCUCGGAGCUCUACAUGAUCUGAUAAUAAAAGUGUUGGGACAACUGCUGGGACGAGUGGAUUAUCAUGUCCUCCGAAUUCCGGCAAAAUUAAAGUAUACAAAUGGUGUUCAUGCAAAGAGGAAAGAGAUAAAGAAUCGUAGGACAUGAUGCUGAUAUGUGAAACCACAAACAAGAAGAACUGUCCAGGUAAAGGCUACUACCAUCAGGAGUGCCUAGGAAUUGAAAGAGUACCUAAAGGAAAGUGGCUGUGCGACUUCUGCAAACAGAAAUCUAGAAAAUAAUUUAAUUGCAAACAUUGAACAACGAAUAAACCAUCCAAUUGCUUUCUAAAGAUAUGAAAAGUUAUGAACACUAGAUCCAAUAAAUAAUACUACGUAUAACAAUACGUG